rnacentral:rRNA from 1 species
CCCUAUUAUGAAUUUUUAGCAAGAAUUAAUAUAUAAUGAAAAUUAAUAAAUUUUGGCAGUUAGUUAUAUUAUUAGAGGAGCUUGUUUAUUAUAGAAUUUACUCUUUAUAUUUUAGUAUUUUAGAAGUUUAUUCAUCUCUGUUAUUAAAUGAGAGUUGAUUUUAAUUUUUUAUUAUCUCAGGUCAAGAUGUAGCAAUGAAAUAAUUGAAAAUUAGCUACAAUUAUAAAAUAUAUAUUAUUAAAUUUGAAAUAUAAUUAUUAUUUAUUUGAAUUUAGUUGUAAUAAUUACUAGAAUGUUAUUAUGAUUUUGUAUAAUUAGUGU